GACGAACGCUGGCGGCGUGCCUAAUACAUGCAAGUAGAACGCACAGUUUAUACCGUAGCUUGCUACACCAUAGACUGUGAGUUGCAAACGGGUGAGUAACGCGUAGGUAACCUGCCUGGUAGCGGGGGAUAACUAUUGGAAACGAUAGCUAAUACCGCAUAAUAUUAAUUAUUGCAUGAUAAUUAAUUGAAAGGUGCAAUUGCACCACUACCAGAUGGACCUGCGUUGUAUUAGCUAGUGGGAGAGGUAACGGCUCACCUAGGCGACGAUACAUAGCCGUACCGAGGGGGUGGUCGGCCACCCUGGGACUGGGACACGGCCCAGACCUCUGAGGGAGGCAGCAGUAGGGCAUCUUCGGCAAUAGGCGGAAGUCUGACCGCGCCAAGCCGCGUGAGUGUAGAAGGGUUUCGGAUCGUGAAGCUCUGUUGUCUGAGAAGAGCGAGUGUCAGAGUGGAAAGUUCACGCUGUGACGGUAUCUGACCAGAAAGCGACGGCUAACUACGUG
rnacentral:rRNA from 1 species